rnacentral:rRNA from 1 species
CCUACGGGAGGCAGCAGUGAGGAAUAUUGGUCAAUGGCCGUAAGGCUGAACCAGCCAAGUCGCGUGAGGGCAGAAGGUUCAAUGGUUUGUACACUUCUUUUAUCGGGGAAUAAAGGUAUCCACGUGUGGAUGUUUGCAUGUACCCUAUGAAUAAGCAUCGGCUAACUCCGUGCCAGCAGCCGCGGUAAUACGGAGGAUGCGAGCGUUAUCCGGAUUUAUUGGGUUUAAAGGGUGCGUAGGCUGUUUUUUAAGUCAGCGGUGAAAGUUUGUGGCUCAACCAUAGAAUUGCCGUUGAAACUGGAAGACUUGAGUUUGUUUGAGGUAGGCGGAAUGCGUGGUGUAGCGGUGAAAUGCAUAGAUAUCGCGCAGAACUCCGAUUGCGAAGGCAGCUUACUAAGCCAUAACUGACACUGAAGCACGAAAGCGUGGGGAUCGAACAGGAUUAGAUACCCGAGUAGUC